ACAAUUCUGAUAUUCAAGCUUCAUUAAUUAUUGCAACAGUUAAGAACUUAAUUUACUAAUAUAUGUUAGGAAGGCUCUUUUUUUUCCCCAAAUUUAUUCAAGUUGUCAAGAAAUUAGAUAAAAAUGUAAAAAAUAAAUACAUGUGAAUUUUACUUUUGAUUUUCACUAAAGGUAAAUAUCCAUACAAUUUUACAGUGUCACCUGAUGACAAUCUUUAAUAAAUCCAGGUAUACAGAAAUUUAAAAGGCAGGAGUUUCCUUUUACACUUUUAAACUUGAGAAACAGCAAUUUAACUGUGACACAAAGUUCAUGUAACAGAUGCAGCAAUAAAUUAAAAAAUGAGCAUCAGUGGGAUAGUCUCCCUCCAUUAGAAGGGCAUGCUCUUACAGUGCUGAGCUCGGAUUUGAGUUUCAAAGUUGACCAUCCAACACAAAGUGCUUCUACAAAGCCAGCCCCAGGCUUCACUCUCACCAGUCUGAGGUCGCCUCUCUCUGGGACAUCACUGGGGCACUGUGAUGAGCACCUUGUUAACCUGAACCAACAAGCAGUGUGGGUCCAGCCACUCGGGUCAAAAGGCACACUCUGCACAAG
rnacentral:lncRNA from 1 species